UACGUAGGGGGCGAGCGUUGUCCGGAUUUAUUGGGCGUAAAGCGCUCGCAGGCGGCUCGAUGCGUCGUGCGUGAAAGACCCCGGCUCAACUGGGGGGCGUCGUGCGAUACGGUCGGGCUGGAGGCCAGUAGGGGGAUGCGGAAUUCCGGGUGUAGUGGUGGAAUGCGUAGAGAUCCGGAGGAACACCAGCGGCGAAGGCGGCAUCCUGGACUGGACCUGACGCUCAGGAGCGAAAGCGUGGGGAGCGAGUCCGG
rnacentral:rRNA from 1 species